rnacentral:rRNA from 1 species
UUGGAGGGCAAGUCUGGUGCCAGCAGCCGCGGUAAUUCCAGCUCCAAUAGCGUAUAUUAAAGUUGUUGCAGUUAAAAAGCUCGUAGUUGAAUUUCGGGGUUAGUAGGUUGGUCAUGCCUCUGGUAUGUACUGGUCUCACUGAUUCCUCCUUCCUUAUGAACCGUAAUGCCAUUAAUUUGGUGUUGCGGGGAAUUUGGACUGUUACUUUAGAAAAAAUUAGAGUGUUUAAAGCAAGCUAACGCUUGAAUACAUUAGCAUGGAAUAAUGAAAUAGGACG